UAUAGCUCCCAAAUAUGAUUUGCGUCGUCUCAAUUUGGAGUGGACUUGUUCGUUAGUGCAGCUAGCUAGCAUAUUUUGGAUAAUAUGGAUCGACACUGUACUCUUGGUUGUUAAUUUAGCUACCUAAUUUGUUCUAAGUAGAAGUUUACAAAGUUGCAUGCCAUCAAGAUUGUAGCCAAUUAACACGCAUGCAUCUAUAUGACUCUUCAGCCGGUCCUUUUAGAGUCUUGGAACAUGACUCUUCAGCGUGGGAUUGGGUGGAUGGAUUGAGGCAGAAAUAUCUACCUCGUCAGACCCUCUCUCUCCCUCAUCUCUUCUUCAUCCCGCUCCUCUUCUCUAGGCCGCCGCCGCGGCUUUCCUCCUCCCUCUCGGCUGCCUCAUCUCCUCUGCCUCCACCUCCACUGCCUCCUUACCCAACUAGCACGGGCAAGACGACGUGCAGGCAAAGGGAGAUGGCGGCGGCGCUCAAUUCGGUCAGCAGUACAGAGAAGAUGAGAGGGAGAGAGAGAGGAAAGGGGAGAGGGGGGUGCGCCUGUCCCUCACCCCAUGUCCCCGGCGCACCGUCGCCCCUCCAAGCCUUGGUGGUCCAGGGAGGAGUAGAUGGCACCAACUUCGAUUCCGGCCUCCGCCCUGAGCUCCGCCGCCUCACGAACUCGAGGCGACGGGCGCCGCCCCCACGAGCUCACUCCGCCUCUCGAGGACCUCCUCUCCUUCGCGGCCCCGAGCGAUGUCUUGAACUCUUCUGUCCCUACACAUGGUCAGCAUCAGCAGAGGGCCAAACGAUGCAACUGCAGGCGCAAACAAUUUUGCUGGGUAGGUGGUCAAAGCCCUAUUCUAUUGUUGUGAUACUGGUGAGCUUGCACGGUGCAGCAGCCUGGAGAGGCGGCUAACGGCGCACCUGCGAAGCAACAAUAAACACGUCUGAUGCCAACAUGCCAAGAUAGAAAAAUUGCAUCCGGCAGACUGUUUACGACAUUGUGGCAUUGGACUAUGAGAAAGUUAUGGUCCUUAUUGAUGCAACAACCGCUGCAAGGCCAGAUAUCCAUUUGGCAAGUAUUAGAGAUAUGAUGACUAUUGGCGUGGAAACACCAACCUUGGAAGAGUGGCGCCGUUAGGUUAGCAGGUGGUGUACUUCAUUCUUGGAGCUGACAUACAUGCCUAGGUGCAUCAAAGUCAACAAACGCGCUGCUACCUCUUGCUGACUCUCCAUUCGGCCCCGACAAGUGACAAUAUCGUCCUGUUCAUUAAGCAGAGUGGUGGGAAGCUCCCGGAAACACCCUUUCCAAAUAGAAUUUCUAUUUCAUUGUUAUGAAGGUUGAUUUUACCUAUUUGACUUAAAUGGUGACCUCCAUGCACUCCCAUAUUUUGCUUAGAUUCUCAUUUAAAUGGUGAGCGCUCAGAUUCUAAAUAUCGGCUCUUUAGUACUGUUUUAUUAUUUUAAGAAAAAAUAGGAGCAAUGUGAUUUUGUUCUCUAGAGACUGGAAUUGAAUAGUAUGUCCUUUUGGUACUGUCCUAUUGCCAUUUGUAGCUCCCAGAUGCAUCAGUUCGACUAGGCAUUAUCAUAUAUUUAUCAUGUAUUUUACAGUAGUAUGAUUUCUGCAUAGACUAAAUACCUUCUUUUGCUAAAGGUUACUUUUCUUCAUAAAAUUUAAUUCAUGAUGUCGUUUUACCAGUUGUAGUACCUUCAGCAUAGAAGCAGUAGUGGUCUGCUCCCCCAAAUAUCUAUAGCUCGUGGAUGUGGCGGUAUGGGGAAUAGGGAGUAGAUGAUAUGGGAAUAAGAGGAUCCAGGCACGUGCACAAAUUCUUGCUACCUGACGGCUAUGCUGAGGAUGCCUCUGACCUAUCUCAAGAAGAUUUGAGCCGCAGAAUGACGUGUACAGCGCACCACCAGUUCCUCCGACAACACAGCUGCUGUACUGGUAGCAGCGACCACAACUUCCCACACAAGCGUCGCUAGCUGUGACCGUCAAUGUACCUGAUGCCGUAUAUGCCUCUCCAUCCCGUUAGUCUGCUCGAUUAUUCGGUUCUGCCAGCGCCAAGGUUCAACACAUUUUAGUUUUAUGGGAUGGACAUAGGUUGGAUGGAGCAUCGAGGAUUUCAGGCUUGGGGUGGCACAGUAGUAGGAUAGCAGGAUGAGUUGGAUGUGUUCUUCAGAGACCAGGUGAUGUCGUUGCCGAAAGUCUGCCGUCAUGGGAAAAGUCGGGAUCCCAACAAAAGUGCUUCUGGAUGCUAUGAAGCAACAGCUUAGCCUUCCAAGCGAAAGUAAGACAUUGUAAGCAAGUAAGACAUUUCCCAUGACGGCAGACUGAUGACGGCAGACAUAAACUCCUAUGACGACAAACUGAUGACGGCAGACUUAAAAAUGCUUCUGGAUGGUGUGCAGAGGUUUCUUAGUUCUUGUACUGCACCCCAUUCUUUUAGAAAUUGAAACUACUCCAGCGUCCAGUGUUAGCUAAGAGCUAAGAUGAGUACAAGAAUUUUCUGUAGAGAUUGUUGCAAGGAGACAUCUCUGUCCAGUGUUAGCUAAAUUUUAUUGGUCUCGGCAUUGGACUAUCUAUGCAUUGGUCUCACAUCUUAUUUUCGGAACAUUUGAGUACUCUUCAAAUAUGCAUACACUGCAUAUUUUCAGUGAUAGUCUGAAAAUAUGCAUAUACACUGUACAGCAGCAUAUUGAAAACAUUCAGGUUUUAGUAUAACUGAAUUUUUUGUUACA